rnacentral:rRNA from 1 species
AGUGAACGCUGGCGGUAGGCCUAACACAUGCAAGUCGAACGGCAGCACAGUAAGAGCUUGCUCUUACGGGUGGCGAGUGGCGGACGGGUGAGGAAUACAUCGGAAUCUACUUUUUCGUGGGGGAUAACGUAGGGAAACUUACGCUAAUACCGCAUACGACCUACGGGUGAAAGCAGGGGAUCUUCGGACCUUGCGCGAUUGAAUGAGCCGAUGUCGGAUUAGCUAGUUGGCGGGGUAAAGGCCCACCAAGGCGACGAUCCGUAGAUGGUCUGAGAGGAUGAUCAGCCACACUGGAACUGAGACACGGUCCAGACUCCUACGGGAGGCAGCAGUGGGGAAUAUUGGACAAAGGGCGCAAGCCUGAUCCAGCCAUACCGCGUGGGUGAAGAAGGCCUUCGGGUUGUAAAGCCCUUUUGUUGGGAAAGAAAAGCAGCAGGUUAAUACCCCGCUGUUCUGACGGUACCCAAAGAAUAAGCACCGGCUGACUUCGUG